rnacentral:rRNA from 1 species
UACACACCGCCCGUCACACCAUGGAAGUCUGUUGCACCAGAAGUCGGUAGUCUAACCGCAAGGGGGGCGCCGACCACGGUGUGGCCGAUGACUGGGGGUG